rnacentral:lncRNA from 10 species
GGUCUUAGGAGAGUUGGACACAUUCAAAACACAAUAUGUGAUUAAGAAGAUUAAAGAUUAAUACUUAUUGAUGGAUUACUAUGUGCCAAACUUCCAACCGAAUCCUGACAACAAUUCCUUAAGAUGUGGAAACUGCAGUUCACUGAGGUUGACAUUUCCGGGUUCAUACAACAAGGAUGGGCAUGAUUGUGAGGCCUCCCCACCCACAUGGAAUGAGUUCCCCAGCUAUCCCCCAGUGGCUUGGAGAUUCCCAUUUCAAGAGUGUAGAGUUCUACCCAGAAGGUGGCUGCGUGGACAGUGACUACAUUCUCAGCUCCAUGCCUAUUUGGAUGGUCUGAGGCCUUCACUCCUCACCCUUCCUGGAUGUGGUUGCGCCAGAGGGGAUGAUUUAGUGAGCAGAUGGUACCAGGAAAACCAAGGGUAUUGCAUCCAGCUGUGUGUACACAGAUUGGUGAAUUCAAGCCUCUGAUCUAGGAUCUGAAAUAAAAA